rnacentral:rRNA from 1 species
AUUGGACGCUGGCGGAAUGCUUUACACAUGCAAGUCGAACGGCAGCACGGGGGCAACCCUGGUGGCGAGUGGAGAACGGGUGAGUAAUACAUCGGAACGUGCCCAGUCGUGGGGGAUAACGGAGGGAAAGUUACGCUAAUACCGCAUACGAUAUACGAGUGAAAGCGGGGGACCGUAAGGGCUCGCGCGAUGGGAGCGGCAGAUGUCAGAUUGGGUAGUUGGUGAGGUAAAGGCUCACCAAGCCGACGAUCUGUAGCUGGUCUGAGAGGACGACCAGCCACACUGGGACUGAGACACGGCCCAGACUCCUACGGGAGGCAGCAGUGGGGAAUUUUGGACAAUGGGCGCAAGCCUGAUCCAGCCAUCCCGCGUGCAGGACGAAGGCCUUCGGGUUGUAAACUGCUUUUGUACGGAACGAAAAGGCUCUGGUUAAUACCUGGGGCUCAUGACGGCACCGUAAGAAUAAGCACCGGCUAACUACGUGCCAGCCGCCGCCGUAA